CUCUACACCAACGUAGGGCUCCAAGAUAUCGGUGAUGGUUUUUGCCGACAUGUCUUCGCCAACGAUCAUCACAAACAUUAAAAAAAAAAAACCAUUACCAACGUGCACUUAUGUUUCACCAACAUUUUUUGGCCACCAGUUCUCUUUUUCUUACGAAGGCUCGUUGUUAUGGCAUUCCACCACAGGAAGGGUCAUUGUUCUUGUGAUCCACCACCAGCUUCUUUCCUCCUAAUCUGGUGUUUUUGCAUGACUUUGGGAGACCAGCUGCAACUUUGAAAUAGCUUAUCUUCCGUUGUUCGCCAUGGCUUCUCCUUUGACAACUUGUUUCUGCUAGCCCCGAUCAAGCAAUUUUCUAGAGAUCUUUGUCUCUUGUUUAGGAAAUGAAGGACAAGAAGGGUGUCACGUCUUCCAAAACCAUGGAGAACCUGGAAUAUACAGUUUGGAGAAAGCGUGACCAAUCUCUUAGGAGGUGUUAUCUACUCUCUCAGAUGACUACACAGUAGUUAGACUAUGUAAACACUUAACUCAGACUUACUCUUAGAUCUCGGGGGCUUGAAUUUUAUUAUUGUUGAAGGAGUUACAGAAUCAUAAGAAAUGUUUCAUGAUUGUGAUGAAGUACAUAGGUCGUAUGAAGGGAAUUACAUAUUAGUUGGUUGUUAUUGGUAUUGUGGUUUUAGACAAAGACAUUGCAACAACUCAUCAAUGGUCUAGGGCCUGAUUUUGAUACA